AGGGUUUGAUUAUGGCUCAGGAUGAACGCUGGCGGCGUGCUUAAUACAUGCAAGUCGAACGAACAUUAAAAGUGCUUGCACUUUUAAUGUUAGUGGCGAACGGGUGAGUAAUACAUAGGCAACUUGCCCCAAGGACUGGGAUAACACUUAGAAAUGAGUGCUAAUACCGGAUAGGUAAUACAAAGGCAUCUUAGUAUUAUUAAAGUUGGGUAUCCAACACCAUGGGAUGGGCUUAUGCUGUAUUAGCUAGUUGGUGAGAUAAAAGCCCACCAAGGCGAUGAUACAUAGCUGGUCUGAGAGGAUGAACAGCCACAUUGGGACUGAGACACGGCCCAG
rnacentral:rRNA from 1 species